rnacentral:pre_miRNA from 1 species
GGCUUUUCGAAUUCGUGCUGAGAUUUCGUCAGACAUCAAUAAAUUGGGGCUGACCAAACUUCCAAGAUAAGUGAAGUU